CGAGCGAACGGACGAGAAGCUUGCUUCUCUGAUGUUAGCGGCGGACGGGUGAGUAACACGUGGAUAACCUACCUAUAAGACUGGGAUAACUUCGGGAAACCGGAGCUAAUACCGGAUAAUAUUUUGAACCGCAUGGUUCAAAAGUGAAAGACGGUCUUGCUGUCACUUAUAGAUGGAUCCGCGCUGCAUUAGCUAGUUGGUAAGGUAACGGCUUACCAAGGCAACGAUGCAUAGCCGACCUGAGAGGGUGAUCGGCCACACUGGAACUGAGACACGGUCCAGACUCCUACGGGAGGCAGCAGUAGGGAAUCUUCCGCAAUGGGCGAAAGCCUGACGGAGCAACGCCGCGUGAGUGAUGAAGGUCUUCGGAUCGUAAAACUCUGUUAUUAGGGAAGAACAUAUGUGUAAGUAACUGUGCACAUCUUGACGGUACCUAAUCAGAAAGCCACGGCUAACUACGUGCCAGCAGCCGCGGUAAUACGUAGGUGGCAAGCGUUAUCCGGAAUUAUUGGGCGUAAAGCGCGCGUAGGCGGUUUUUUAAGUCUGAUGUGAAAGCCCACGGCUCAACCGUGGAGGGUCAUUGGAAACUGGAAAACUUGAGUGCAGAAGAGGAAAGUGGAAUUCCAUGUGUAGCGGUGAAAUGCGCAGAGAUAUGGAGGAACACCAGUGGCGAAGGCGACUUUCUGGUCUGUAACUGACGCUGAUGUGCGAAAGCGUGGGGAUCAAACAGGAUUAGAUACCCUGGUAGUCCACGCCGUA
rnacentral:rRNA from 1 species